CCUACGGGCGGCAGCAGUGUUUCCUUUUGGACAAUGGGGGCAACCCUGAUCCAGCCAUGCCGCGUGCGGGAAGAAGGCCUUCGGGUUGUAAACCGCUUUUGUCAGGAGAGAAAUCUCUUGGGCUAAUACCCUGAGAGGAUGACGGUACCUGAAGAAUAAGCACCGGCUAACUACGUGCCAGCAGCCGCGGUAAUACGUAGGGUGCAAGCGUUAAUCGGAAUUACUGGGGGUAAAUGGUGCGCACAGGUUUGAAAUCCCCGGGCUUAACCUGGGAACUGCACUUGUGACUGCACGGCUAGAGUACGGCAGAGGGGGAUGGAAUUCCGCGUGUAGCAGUGAAAUGCGUAGAUAUGCGGAGGAACACCGAUGGCGAAGGCAGUCCCCUGGGCCUGUACUGACGCUCAUGCACGAAAGCGUGGGGAGCAAACAGGAUUAGAUACCCGUGUAGUC
rnacentral:rRNA from 1 species